AAGACAAAGAUUUUCUGUUACGUGAAUAAGUUCGUUGUUAACUGUAGAAUUUAGCCUAUAUGUUUAUUUUGUGUCUUUUAUGGUUUUUCUAGCGAUAAUAAUUUAGCGUGGAAUGUUUAGUAUUACUGAGUGAUGGAUUUAUGGCUUGCAGGCCUUUUUUGGGGCUUUUGUGUGAGGUCCAGUGGAGACAGUGUGCGGACCGCUAAACAAUGGAUGAUUUGUUUUAGUGCAGUGAAGAGGGGGAACUAUGGAUGAGAAUGAGUGAAAAUUUGUAAGAGUGGACACUCAGUUCGUUUUGGGUUUUCGAAGAGAACACUUAUUUUAAUCGUGGCAUAUUUUUACUUUCAAUCAACAUCUUUAUACCAAGUUAAUGUUUUAUCAUAAUUAUAGUUCUUUUUUGUAAUAGACUUUUUCUCAUUUAUUUCUUGCCCACCUUACCGAUCCUACAGUUUAGUACAUGGUUAUCACAGCUGUGUCAUCUGACCGAUUACAAAGAGUUUACGACUUUCGGAUCCGUCGAAGUCCAAUUCAGCUCUGAUCCAUACAGAUUUAGGAAUCUCUUAAAUAACAAAUUGAUUGUUCAUAUUUCAUCGCUUCGCUGGCAAUGUACGUCCACAUAUUAAACGACAACGCAAUUAUACAAAUCUUGGGCCCAACAACGGUUUGAUGAAAUAACGGCACAUGUGGGCACAUGAUGGCCCAGAUGAGGAGGAAUUUUGUUGAUAGCUUCUGCAUUGUAAUGUCCUACCAUUUAGAAUGACAAUUCAGAACUAGAAAUCGCCAUUUGACUCAUAGUGAAGCAUCGCAUACCGCCGAGAAACUCGUCCGUCUGUCGUCACCACUAGCAAUGCAGUUAUAUCUUCCUGUGGAUUUACAUACGAGUUUCGUAUCGCAUCGUUACCUGUCGCUGGAUAGAUAGAGAUGAACGUUGGUUGUAAGAGAGGAAGGAGGAGCUAAGGCAGAUGUCAUAUUCCCAUUGUCUGUGUUGUCGUAGAGAAGAGAAGGUUUGCCGUGGAGCCCAGUGGUGCGCGUCUUAAUGCCAACGGUGCACGCGCAUGUGUGCGCUUGAAGUCGAAGGGGAGUAUCUGCACCGAGUUAGGUUCAUCCACUGGAAGUUGUCAGUUCGAUGCACCUCAGGAUCUGCAUGGGGAGGUUUUGGGACUUGCAUCGAAGGGUCUAAGAUGGUUGCGAAUUUCCAGGACAAAGACGGAUCGGAGCUAAUUUCAAUUAACCAAUAUAACAGGAACGUUGAGGAGGAUUAGGGUAAUGUGAAAAUGUGAAUGAAAA